GUGGCAAUAAAAUUUCACUGAGUGUUUAUAAAGAGACUUCAGAAAUGCUGCACAAAGGUGAAGAUGGUACUGCUUUUCAGUGGGAGCAAUUGUUCUACUGACAACACAUGUUGCCAUAGCAUUUUAUUAUCAUUUUUCACCAGUCCCUUUGCCGUUGCUGGCAGUCAAGGAGGCAACACUGUGGCAGGUUUUUUGGACAAAGCAGUGAGCUGCACUGUUCCGUGUUGGUGGAGGAACUGGUGCGCUGACUGCAGGAACGCUGCUCCUGAUUUACACCCUUGGAAGGGUGAUCACAG
rnacentral:lncRNA from 1 species